GCGCACCAGGCGAGAAACCUCCGCAAUGCGCGAAAGCGCGACGGGGCCACCCCGAGUGCCGCCCGCUGAGGGCGGCUUUUCCCCGGUGUAGACAGCCGGGGGAAUAAGGGGAGGGCAAGUCUGGUGUCAGCCGCCGCGGUAAUACCAGCUCCCCGAGUGGUGGGGACGAUUAUUGGGCCUAAAGCGUCCGUAGCCGGCCCGGCAAGUCUCCCGUUAAAUCCAGCGAUCUAAUCGCUGGACUGCGGGAGAUACUGUCGGGCUAGGGGGCGGGAGAGGCCGGCGGUAUUCCCGGGGUAGGGGUGAAAUCCUAUAAUCCCGGGAGGACCACCAGUGGCGAAGGCUGCCGGCUGGAACGCGCCCGACGGUGAGGGACGAAAGCCGGGGGAGCGAACCGGAUUAGAUACCCCCGUAGU
rnacentral:rRNA from 1 species